GGCAGUGUAGUGCAGUGGUUUAGCAUCUCCCUUUCCCAAAGGGAAGACCUGGGCUCGAAUCCCAGCUCUGCCA
rnacentral:tRNA from 1 species